CGUCUUUUUCCAGCAUUGCAGCAGACUCCACUCCAAUAGAAAUCUGCUCCGCAGGCGACAAACUGUUGAACAUAGCGGAGCGACGUGUAGCCAGGUUUCCUCCAGGAGGGAGCGAGGAGCCACUAUUGGACAGAAGAGACAAUAAAUGAUGAUGUUACCAGCAACAAAACAAACAAAAAGCAAUUGAUUCAUUCACAGUGGUCACAGCGCGGGAACAGAACCACAGAGCGACUGCCAAUGUGAACAACACGGGCGGCACAGAACGCCGGGGUCACAACGGCCACGAACACACGCGGAGACGAAUGGCUGCACAGUCUGGGCUCAGCAUAAACACGCUGAAGACGUCCUGCUUGUCUCAUCAUGCGAGUGAAUCAUGCCAGGAUGGAUUUCAGUGCUCCACUCAGUAAUAUUGUAUAUUAGCUCUGUGAUCAUUGAACAAUUCUGCUUGUGCUUUCAAACAGGUGCUUUAUUUCUAAGAGCAGUGCCCAUAUAUAUAAAACUAUGCUAUGCACGACUCGACUUAACCUCCACUGUUUUCAUGGCGAUAUAUAAUCUUUAUCUUUAUUUAUUUAUAGCCUUUUAGUGCUGAAUAAUUAACGAGAAUGUAAAUCAUUAAUUGCAAUUAUAGUUUAACUCGGCCCUGGAGAAUAUGAAUUCCGUCGUCUGAUGCCGUUCAUAGCGUUACAGUACAUGCAGCGGUCGGUACUUCACCUUCUGGCUGGAGACGGCAGGUAAGAAGAGUUUAAACUAUUUAUUACCUGCAGGACCUUACGUCUCCUUUAUCUUCCAUCCUCCUCUCCUCACAUGGUCUCUGGCUGCAGAUGCAGGAGAGCGAUGAGGGGAUUAGCUGUGAUUUGGUCUGCUUUCCCUUUUGGAGCUGAGGGGGCACGGGCUUGUACAAAGCCCACGGACAAGGGGCUAUAGAUUUCCUUUUCAGCCAGGCUUAAUAACUCUGUCACUUUUACUCUGCCUUAGCUCCCACUCUGUGUCCACAACUACAGGAGCCUUUUAAAAUGCAUAAUGUAUAAGCUAGUAAUGUGCAAAGCCUUUCAAAAUGAGUGAAAUCAUGUAAAUUGAUGAGCCAACAAGGCUGCAGCAGCUGAGUAAUACAGAUGGAGAUAAUAAAGUCUGCUUUCAUGGUGUUUAAGAAGCAUUUUUUAAAGGUCACACUUUGUGGAACUAAUUAAAACCUAAUUACAACAGUAUUAGCAAAUGUGUCUCAACAUGUCAGAUGAAACCACGCGGAAGCUUUUCCUUUACUGUAUCCUUCGAGUCUUUCAUUUUAAUGAAGCUCAAUUGAUUUUUUCUGUUCUCAGUGUUUCUGUGUGUUUUCUCAAAUGCCAAACAUUGAGUUAGGUGAUAUUUAGACCUGAACCAUUACUCUAUGUCGUUGUGUCAGGAUGCAGUCAGUUUAUUUAUUUUACUUAUGUAACUAGUACAAUCUGUAUAUCACUUAAUAUUUGUCUGUUGACAAAUAAAUCGCCUUUUUACCAGUUUCCUGUUCAGACAUUAUCUCUUCCUCUUCCUUCAAAAAGCUAAUUACUAAAUAUAUGUCCUAAGUCUGAGAAGUGGAAAUCAGUGUAAGACCUGCAGGCAGAAGUGCAGCCACUGCCUAUUACAUAAAUAAAUAAAUAAGUACACUGGAAAAUAUCUAAAAGCAUUUUAAGUGGAUGAGUUAAUAGGAAAUUCAUUCACCUCACCAGCAAAUUCAAAUAGUCUAUUAACGCAUUCAAUGACGAGAUAAUUGACUGGAUCCUUGUACACAAAACAAAUUGCUUCUCAGAUCUAUGUUUGUUUGAUUGCUCUUAAUCACCAAAUGAAAGUUUACCCGUAGAAUAUGAAAUCAAGUAAAUGAAGUCUCACUGCGGCGUAUAAACAACGUAAAUGCAUGAAGCUAAAAAACAAUGGUCUGCGUAGUUUUCAUGUUACCAUGUUCAUAACUUACAGUUAUGUAGUUCUUUUGUAAAAACCUCCCCAGUGCAGAGAAGUGGAAGUUUUAUUUUGGUGCUACUGCUGAUUAUCUGCCUGCUUUCAGGUCUUACAACAGCCAAGAUGUCAUUAGUCAAAAAUACUUUAUUGUUUGUUUCUUGUCUGUUAGAAGCUCUGUGGGUUUCUACUCAGAAAAUCAGUGACCUCCACGGUCAAUCUACAGCCAGAGCAAAUAAAUAAAGUCAGUGAACAAAGCACAAGUAAUAAACCUGAGUGGACUCAGGCCAAGCAGACAGAUGGAGCAUGUCACACACAAUAGAGAGAUGACAUUCCAUCAAAUACAAUUUUAACAGCUCUAGGUCAAAGAUCACCUGCCCCUUCACCUGUCACCUUUUACCAUUCUGGGUCAAAGGUCAUCUGCCCUUUCAGCCUCACCUCUAAGGUCAUAGGCCACUCAGCAAUGUCAAGUGUCAGCAAUGUCAUCAAAGGUGGACCGCCACUGUCAAAGGUCCUCCCUCCGAGUCAAAGGUUUACUGCACUCUCACCUCAGAGAUUGUGAUCUGAUCAGCGCUCAGUCAGCAGAGAGGCAGAUGAAGGGGAAUCCUGACGCUGGCAGGCUGGCAACCACUCUACAUGCCUGGUUCCCACCGUGAAGCAUGGAGGAGGAGGUGGGAUGGUGUGAUGGUGCUUUGCUGGUGACACUGUUGGGAAUUUAUUCAUAAUUGAAGGCAUACUGAACCAUGUGUCAUAACCUGGACCGAUCACUUGCCAUUUCCUGUUUUACUUUCUGCCACAUCCUGUUUAGUUCUGCUCUGGUUCCCUCCUGUUUCGCUCUCCAGUCACAUGAUUCUUCAGCUGUCGUCAAUCAGUAAUCAGUCAGGCAUUUAAACCAGUACUCACCACACUCGCUGGCAGAUUGUCGAUCAUGUUUCCAGUCUCAGGUCCCCAGCAUCCAGAUGCUCGUAACUCUUCUGGCGUACCAGUCCUGAAUCUCAUUUUGACCUUGUCUUGCCUGCUCCCUUGUGUUCUGGUUUUGGACUCUGCCUUUUGUUACUGAACCUCAUUGCCUGAUUCCUGUUUUGUACUGCUGUUACCUUCCAUGCCAACCCGGGUGUUUGUUUUAACCUUAGAUUAUUUGCAGUAAAAUGUUUUUUUCUAAUGGGAUCCUUUAUAAAAAAAAAUAAAUAAAAAAAAAUAAAUAAAAAUCCACAAACUAUUUAACAGCUACAACAUCUAAAGCUAAGAUUUGAAAAGAUUAAUGAUUACAUCCUUCAAAAUGAUUGGGUGUGAACCAGAGCCAUAGUAAGACCUCACAGUGAUACCUGAUACUUUCUGCUUCACAUUUUUAUAAUGUUUGAGACUAUUCCUAUUUCAAAGUAGCUUUUAGAACUGUUUUUUUUUGUUGAUAAAUCAACUAGUUU